GCCAGGGUCUUACUAGUUUUACUGUGAGCACUUGACUAUGUUGAUAGUAGCUACAUCACUGCCUCACCAGAGCUCUGACAAAGCAUGGCUGCCUUGCUCAUCAAGAAGUUCAACAUCUUGGUUCAAUGAUGCUGAAUGAACCCAGCCUUCCCACUAGCAAGCCAUCUCACAACUGGGUCAACUACCUCCCAACCCCCAACCAAUGUUAAUUAGCUACUAACAGGGAAAAGACUCUAAAAGGUUAUUAGAAUUCCCAAAGGUCAUGGCCAGGCAAUGAUACAAGCCUUUAAUCCUACUUAGCACCUGGAAGGCAGAGGUGUAUAUAUGCUGAGGUCAUCUUUGGUAAAGAGGUAUCUAAACAGAAGGGUCUAAUGGUUGGCUAUACACUGCCACCAGGAACUGGUGUGACAUUCUACCACCUCCAGGAAGAUGUUCAGACACUGCCAAUAAAACUCAUUUCUCGGGGCUGGAGAGAUGGCUCAGUGGUUAAUAGCACCAACUACUCUUC